CAGGCCUAACACAUGCAAGUCGAACGGAAAGGCCCUGCUUUUGUGGGGUGCUCGAGUGGCGAACGGGUGAGUAACACGUGAGUAACCUGCCCUUGACUUUGGGAUAACUUCAGGAAACUGGGGCUAAUACCGGAUAGGAGCUCUUGCUGCAUGGUGGGGGUUGGAAAGUUUCGGCGGUUGGGGAUGGACUCGCGGCUUAUCAGCUUGUUGGUGGGGUAGUGGCUUACCAAGGCUUUGACGGGUAGCCGGCCUGAGAGGGUGACCGGCCACAUUGGGACUGAGAUACGGCCCAGACUCCUACGGGAGGCAGCAGUGGGGAAUAUUGCACAAUGGGCGGAAGCCUGAUGCAGCAACGCCGCGUGCGGGAUGACGGCCUUCGGGCUGUAAACCGCUUUCGCCUGUGACGAAGCGUGAGUGACGGUAAUGGGUAAAGAAGCACCGGCUAACUACGUGCCAGCAGCCGCGGUGAUACGUAGGGUGCGAGCGUUGUCCGGAUUUAUUGGGCGUAAAGGGCUCGUAGGUGGUUGAUCGCGUCGGAAGUGUAAUCUUGGGGCUUAACCCUGAGCGUGCUUUCGAUACGGGUUGACUUGAGGAAGGUAGGGGAGAAUGGAAUUCCUGGUGGAGCGGUGGAAUGCGCAGAUAUCAGGAGGAACACCAGUGGCGAAGGCGGUUCUCUGGGCCUUUCCUGACGCUGAGGAGCGAAAGCGUGGGGAGCGAACAGGCUUAGAUACCCUGGUAGUCCACGCUGUA
rnacentral:rRNA from 1 species